rnacentral:rRNA from 1 species
GACGAACGCUGGCGGCGUGCCUAAUACAUGCAAGUUGAGCGAUGAAGAUUGGUGCUUGCACCAAUUUGAAGAGCAGCGAACGGGUGAGUAACGCGUGGGGAAUCUGCCUUUGAGCGGGGGACAACAUUUGGAAACGAAUGCUAAUACCGCAUAAUAACUUUAAACAUAAAUUUUAAGUUUGAAAGAUGCAAUUGCAUCACUCAAAGAUGAUCCCGCGUUGUAUUAGCUAGUUGGUGAGGUAAAGGCUCACCAAGGCGAUGAUACAUAGCCGACCUGAGAGGGUGAUCGGCCACAUUGGGACUGAGACACGGCCCAAACUCCUACGGGAGGCAGCAGUAGGGAAUCUUCGGCAAUGGACGAAAGUCUGACCGAGCAACGCCGCGUGAGUGAAGAAGGGUUUCGGAUCGUAAAACUCUGUUGGUAGAGAAGAACGUUGGUGAGAGUGGAAAGCUCAUCAAGUGACGGUAACUACCCAGAAAGGGACGGCUAACUACGUG